UUGAGGGUAAAAUAUGAAUCCUAGCCCAAAUGUGUUCAAAAUUUUGUAAGUUUGGUAAUCAAUAAUGUUUUCGACAAUGGCUAUUAGGAAAUUAAAUCAAUUUCUAAAAAUGGGUUCUUACAACCUUUAAUUUUGAAAAUGGGACUGAUUUGUAAAAGAGUAAAAAUUGAGAGUUUUUAUGAAGCAAUUUAACCAGUUUUUAAACUCAACUUAAAACCCCCCCAUUCUCCAAAUUGUUCAUGACAGAAAAACUCCCCUUUGUUGUGUUGCCGUCCCUUCUACUCUCUCAUCUCUCCCAAUUGAUUUUUGCUUCCAAAUCUUAAUUCCUAUUGAUUUCUACCAUCAACCUAACCAUAAAUCUUGAUUGAAACCAAGAAAAACAUCUAAAAGUCUCAUUAAUUUCAUCUUCUUUACCUGUGGGUUUCC
rnacentral:lncRNA from 1 species